UACGAAGGGGGCUAGCGUUGCUCGGAAUCACUGGGCGUAAAGCGCACGUAGGCGGAUUGCUAAGUCAGGGGUGAAAUCCCGGAGCUCAACUCCGGAACUGCCUUUGAUACUGGCGAUCUUGAGUCCGGGAGAGGUGAGUGGAACUGCGAGUGUAGAGGUGAAAUUCGUAGAUAUUCGCAAGAACACCAGUGGCGAAGGCGGCUCACUGGCCCGGUACUGACGCUGAGGUGCGAAAGCGUGGGGAGCAAACAGG
rnacentral:rRNA from 1 species